GCAAGGAUGCAAUCUUUCUGCGAAAGAUUGACCUGCAGAAACCCACAAAUCUUCUCGGGAUCAACCAUGAAGCCAUCUUGACUUGCAAGAUGAGCUACAGAAAUGACCAAUUAUCCAGACGGGCCAUCUCCCCACAUCUCCACCGUCAGCGCUCAGAUGAAGGGCAAUACAGUUAACCCCUUCAUCGUCCGCGGAACGGCCAGUGUGACUAUAGAUGCCCGCGAUAAAUGGAAAAAAGAUAUUGCUGCUGCUAUUAAUCCAAAGCCAUAAGGUAAAACGCAGAACCCGUCCCAUCAAACUCAAAGAAAAAGUCGGAAUACAUCCGUAACCUCUGACGAACGACUGGGACUUAGGCUUUCUGCUAAACCCGUAUGCGCAUUGGAAUAAUAUAACAAAAAACUGCAAGAGAAAUGAAAGAAUUAA